rnacentral:rRNA from 1 species
ACGAACGCUGGCGGCGUGCUUAACACAUGCAAGUCGCACGGAAAGGCCCUGCUUUUGUGGGGUGCUCGAGUGGCGAACGGGUGAGUAACACGUGAGUAACCUGCCCUUGACUUUGGGAUAACUUCAGGAAACUGGGGCUAAUACCGGAUAGGAGCUCCUGCUGCAUGGUGGGGGUUGGAAAGUUUCGGCGGUUGGGGUUGGACUCGCGGCUUAUCAGCUUGUUGGUGGGGUAGUGGCUUACCAAGGCUUUGACGGGUAGCCGGCCUGAGAGGGUGACCGGCCACAUUGGGACUGAGAUACGGCCCAGACUCCUACGGGAGGCAGCAGUGGGGAAUAUUGCACAAUGGGCGGAAGCCUGAUGCAGCAACGCCGCGUGCGGGAUGACGGCCUUCGGGUUGUAAACCGCUUUCGCCUGUGACGAAGCGUGAGUGACGGUAAUGGGUAAAGAAGCACCGGCUAACUACGUG